rnacentral:sRNA from 1 species
AGUCACUAGGAUCCGACGGUUGGGGCUC